rnacentral:rRNA from 1 species
UACGGGGGGGGCAAGCGUUGUUCGGAAUUACUGGGCGUAAAGGGUUCGUAGGUGGCCAAUUAAGUCAGACGUGAAAUCCCUCAGCUCAACUGGGGAACUGCGUCUGAGACUGGAUGGCUUGAGUGCAGGAGAGGAACGCGGAAUUCCAGGUGUAGCGGUGAAAUGCGUAGAUAUCUGGAGGAACACCGGUGGCGAAGGCGGUGCUCUGGGCCAGUACUGACGCUGAGGAGCGAAAGCGUGGGGAGCAAACAGG